rnacentral:rRNA from 1 species
UACGUAGGGGGCAAGGCGUUGUCCGGAUUUAUUGGGCGUAAAGAGCGUGUAGGCGGUUCGGUAGGUCCGUUGUGAAAACUCGAGGCUCAACCUCGAGACGCCGAUGGAAACCCUCGAACUAGAGUCCGGAAGAGGAGAGUGGAAUUCCUGGUGUAGCGGUGAAAUGACGCAGAUAUCAGGAAGAACACCCGUGGCUAAGGCGGCUCUCUAGUACGGUACUGACGCUGAGACGCGAAAGCGUGGGGAGCGAACAGG